rnacentral:rRNA from 1 species
GAUGAACGCUGGCGGCGUGCCUAAUACAUGCAAGUCGAGCGAACGGACGAGAAGCUUGCUUCUCUGAUGUUAGCGGCGGACGGGUGAGUAACACGUGGAUAACCUACCUAUAAGACUGGGAUAACUUCGGGAAACCGUAGCUAAUACCGGAUAAUAUUUUGAACCGCAUGGUUCAAAAGUGAAAGACGGUCUUGCUGUCACUUAUAGAUGGAUCCGCGCUGCAUUAGCUAGUUGGUAAGGUAACGGCUUACCAAGGCAACGAUGCAUAGCCGACCUGAGAGGGUGAUCGGCCACACUGGAACGGAGAAACGGUCCAGACUCCUACGGGAGGCAGCAGUAGGGAAUCUUCCGCAAUGGGCGAAAGCCUGACGGAGCAACGCCGCGUGAGUGAUGAAGGUCUUCGGAUCGUAAAACUCUGUUAUUAGGGAAGAACAUAUGUGUAAGUAACUGUGCACAUCUUGACGGUACCUAAUCAGAAAGCCACGGCUAACUACGUG